GCGGCAGUCCUAACACAUGCAAGUCGAACGAGCUGAGACCUUCGGGGCUCGAUGCUAGUGGCGCACGGGUGAGUAACGCGUGGGAACGUACCCUUUAGUACGGAAUAACCAAGGGAAACUUUGGCUAAUACCGUAUACGCCCUUCGGGGGAAAGAUUUAUCGCUAAAGGAGCGGCCCGCGUCUGAUUAGGUAGUUGGUGAGGUAACGGCUCACCAAGCCGACGAUCAGUAGCUGGUCUGAGAGGAUGAACAGCCACACUGGACUGAGACACGGCCCAGGCUCCUACGGGAGGCAUCAGUGGGGAAUAUUGGACAAUGGGCGAAAGCCUGAUCGUGCCAUGCCGCGUGAGUGAAGAAGGCCUUCGGGUUGUAAAGCUCUUUCGACGGGGCCGAUGAUGACGGUACCCGUAUAAGAAGCCCCGGCAAACUUCGUGCCAGCCGCCGCCGUAA
rnacentral:rRNA from 1 species